AACGAACGCUGGCGGCAUGCCUAACACAUGCAGGUCGAACGAAGGCUUCGGCCUUAGUGGCGCAUGGGUGCGUAACGCGUGGGAAUCUGCCCUUGGGUUCGGAAUAACAGCGGGAAACUGCUGCUAAUACCGGAUGAUGACGUAAGUCCAAAGAUUUAUCGCCCAAGGAUGAGCCCGCGUAGGAUUAGCUAGUUGGUGGGGUAAAGGCCCACCAAGGCGACGAUCCUUAGCUGGUCUGAGAGGAUGAUCAGCCACACUGGGACUGAGACACGGCCCAGACUCCUACGGGAGGCAGCAGUGGGGAAUAUUGGACAAUGGGCGAAAGCCUGAUCCAGCAAUGCCGCGUGAGUGAUGAAGGCCUUAGGGUUGUAAAGCUCUUUUACCCGGGAUGAUAAUGACAGUACCGGGAGAAUAAGCUCCGGCUAACUCCGUG
rnacentral:rRNA from 1 species